rnacentral:rRNA from 1 species
ACGGGAGGCAGCAGUGGGGAAUAUUGGACAAUGGGGGAAACCCUGAUCCAGCGACGCCGCGUGAGUGAAGAAGUAUUUCGGUAUGUAAAGCUCUAUCAGCAAGGAAGAAAAUGACGGUACUUGACUAAGAAGCCACGGCUAACUACGUGCCAGCAGCCGCGGUAAUACGUAGGUGGCAAGCGUUGUCCGGAUUUACUGGGUGUAAAGGGUGCGCAGGCGGGACUGCAAGUUGGAUGUGAAAUGCCAAGGCUUAACCUUGGAACUGCAUCCAAAACUGUAGUUCUUGAGUGGAGUAGAGGUAAGCGGAAUUCCGAGUGUAGCGGUGAAAUGCGUAGAUAUUCGGAGGAACACCAGUGGCGAAGGCGGCUUACUGGGCUCUAACUGACGCUGAGGCACGAAAGCAUGGGUAGCAAACAGGAUUAGAUACCCUGGUA